UAAAGGCGAGUAUAAAAACCACCCAAGGUACACAAAAAUCAAACCAAGAGUAGCCAUGGCAUUGCGAAUAGCGGCGAUUUUGUUGUUGGUUGUGGUGUGGGAUUUGGGUUUGAGUUCAGCACAAGAAUCUACCACAGAAAAAGACGAAACAACGACCACAACUACCACUGAACAGCCUGAUCCAGAGUCUACAACGACCACUGGAAAUGAAGAAACCACAGCACCAACAGUGAAAACUACCACACCAGAUUUUUUCCAUAAAAUAUUUGGGUGAGCAAGAGCUUAAAGAUUCCAAGGAAGCAGCAGCUAAAAGAGCUAGUGUCGAUAUAUUCACCUGUAUAUUAUUUAAUUGGAAUUUAAUUUUUCUUUGGAGUAAUAUAUUUUGCGGUUAACGUUUGCUAAAAAGCAAAGGUGUAAA